rnacentral:rRNA from 1 species
ACGAACGCUGGCGGCAUGCCUAACACAUGCCAGUCGAACGAAGGCUUCGGCCUUAGUGGCGCACGGGUGCGUAACGCGUGGGAAUCUGCCCUUUGGUUCGGAAUAACAGCUGGAAACGGCUGCUAAUACCGGAUGAUGACGAAAGUCCAAAGAUUUAUCGCCAGAGGAUGAGCCCGCGUUGGAUUAGGUAGUUGGUGGGGUAAAGGCCUACCAAGCCGACGAUCCAUAGCUGGUCUGAGAGGAUGAUCAGCCACACUGGGACUGAGACACGGCCCAGACUCCUACGGGAGGCAGCAGUGGGGAAUAUUGGACAAUGGGCGCAAGCCUGAUCCAGCAAUGCCGCGUGAGUGGUGAAGGCCCUAGGGUUGUAAAGCUCUUUUACCCGGGAAGAUAAUGACUGUACCGGGAGAAUAAGCCCCGGCUAACUCCGUG